rnacentral:rRNA from 1 species
GCCCUUAGAGUUUGAUCAUGGCUCAGAAUCAACGCUGGCGGCGUGCCUCAGACAUGCAAGUCGAACGCGAAACCUUCCUUCGGGAGGGGAGUAGAGUGGCGCACGGGUGAGUAACACGUAGGUAAUUUGCCUUCGGGUGGGGAAUAACUCAGGGAAACUUGAGCUAAUACCGCAUAAUGCAGCGGCUCGACAUCGAGACAGUUGUUAAAGCGGGGGAUCGCAAGACCUCGCGCCUGAAGAGAAGCCUGCGGCAGAUUAGCUAGUUGGUAGGGUAAUGGCCUACCAAGGCGACGAUCUGUAACCGGCCUGAGAGGGCGGUCGGUCACACUGACACUGACAUACGGGUCAGACUCCUACGGGAGGCAGCAGUCGGGAAUUUUGGGCAAUGGGCGAAAGCCUGACCCAGCAACGCCGCGUGAAGGAUGAAAUCCCUCGGGAUGUAAACUUCGCAAGAAUGGGAAGAAUAAGUGGGGGACAAUACCCCCCAUGAUGACGGUACC